rnacentral:rRNA from 1 species
UACGGAGGGGACUAGCGUUGUUCGGAAUUACUGGGCGUAAAGCGCACGUAGGCGGAUUGCUAAGUCAGGGGUGAAAUCCUGGAGCUCAACUCCAGAACUGCCUUUGAUACUGGCGAUCUUGAGUCCGGGAGAGGUGAGUGGAACUGCGAGUGUAGAGGUGAAAUUCGUAGAUAUUCGCAAGAACACCAGUGGCGAAGGCGGCUCACUGGCCCGGUACUGACGCUGAGGUGCGAAAGCGUGGGGAGCAAACAGG